GAUGAACGCUGGCGGCGUGCCUAAUACAUGCAAGUCGAGCGGACGGACGAGAAGCUUGCUUCUCUGAUGUUAGCGGCGGACGGGUGAGUAACACGUGGAUACCCUACCUAUAAGACUGGGAUAACUUCGGGAAACCGGAGCUAAUACCGGAUAAUCUUUUGAACCGCAUGGUUCAAAAGUGAAAGACGGUCUUGCUGUCACUUAUAGAUGGAUCCGCGCUGCAUUAGCUAGUUGGUAAGGUAACGGCUUACCAAGGCAACGAUGCAUAGCCGACCUGAGAGGCUGAUAGGCCACACGGGAACUGAGACACGGUCCAGACUCCUACGGGAGGCAGCAGUAGGGAAUCUUCCGCAAUGGGCGAAAGCCUGACGGAGCAACGCCGCGUGAGUGAUGAAGGUCUUCGGAUCGUAAAACUCUGUUAUUAGGGAAGAACAGAUGUGUAAGUAACUGUGCACAUCUUGACGGUAACUAAUCAGAAAGCCACGGCUAACUACGUG
rnacentral:rRNA from 1 species